AAGUCGUAACAAGGUUUCCGUAGGUGAACCUGCGGAAGGAUCAUUAUUGAAUAAACCUGAUGUAGUUGUAGCUGGCUCCUCGGAGCAUGUGCACGCUCGUCACUUUUAUCUUUCCACCUGUGCACCCAUUGUAGGCCUGGAUAACCCUCGCUUGGUUUCAAGCGGAAGCGAGAAUUGCUGCUGCUCUUUCUGCAAGGAAAGGCCGGCUUUUUUCGAAUUUCCAGGUCUAUGUUUUCUUACAUACCCCAAUUGAAUGUUACCGAAUGUUAUCAAUGGGCUUAUGCCUAUAAAACACAAUACAACUUUCAGCAACGGAUCUCUUGGCUCUC
rnacentral:misc_RNA from 1 species